UUGGCUAAUGACUGCCAGCUGAUAAACCAUUGAAACUUUUUCCAUGUUCCUGGACUUUUGCCACUAGGAUUAUUUCUGCCUGCAGUGCAGAGGUCCAGGAAUGUUAGGGCCAAUGAGGAGAAACAGUACUGGCAUAAGACUUCAAGAACCAGAGCUCAACCCCCACUUGAGCUAAGUAUUCUCUGACUCACCUGGAACGAUUUAUUAUCUGUUUCUUUACAAUGGAAGUACAAGAGUUCUUGUAACCAUGAAUGAAAUAAGCAAGUGCUAUUGCAUGUUCUAAGCCUUAAGGUUGAAGCUAUACAUUACAUUUAAACAAGAGGAGGAGAUAAAUGCAGAACUUGAUUUACAUGAGAAUGAGGAAGAGAAAGAAGAAUAACCAUAAGCAGAUUCCUUGGAGGAAGCCAUUACCUUUAGCGGUAGCAGAGAAACAAAAGAGGAAUUCUAAUAUGAGCAAAAAAGAGCAGAAGAAUGAGGAGCAGAGGGCAGCUCCCUUGGAACUCGUUCUUCCUGGUUUCGAUCUGUUCCAAGCAUCACAGUCAGCGAAAGAGUCCAAGAAAGCCAAAAUGGAAGCACUGGCACCAGGAGUUGCCAUUCCUGUAAUGGAGCCCACAAAAAAGUGGAGAAAGUUUCCUUACUCUCCUCAGUGGGUCAGUAUACUGGAUGUGGCUCAAAAAAUCUUGGAUGAGGAAGACAGAGUGAAAAGGAAGCAGAAGCAGAAUAAAGGGAAAGAAGAAGAAACAAAAUCAGAUGAAAAUACUGAGAGGGGGGAAGUAGAAAUUAAAGAGGAACCGUUAUCUGAACUGUGCGAUUCAGAGGCCAUACAAGCCAUACAACCAAUGACUUUAGGAGAUCUGCAACCAUUGUUAGAGCAGUUACCACUUCCCAGGACCUCACAUCGAAGGGCAGAAGAGGAGAUCUUAACAGCCAAUGAAAUAGAAGAUAUCAUCCAGGAAAUCGUGGCCAUCAGAGCCCAGGAGAGGCUUUCAGAAGAAACCACACUUCCAGAAGGAAAAGAGAAGAUGCAUUCCCAAAGUGCCUCUUCUGUCGAUACACAGAAAUUGCACUAACAGAGGGAAUAGAAGAUGAAACACUACCGCAGUGGCUCACAGAUCAGCUACUCCCCAGAAACACAAAUGUGCACCACUGCCACAAGUUCCUGUUGAGUUUGGCAGGAGAAUGUCCCUAUGAACUGUAUUCAAGAUUAAAAAAG